AACAUGUCCGUGUGAAAUAUUUAUAAGGUCUAGCCUGCCCACUGAGUUUUUAAAGGGCCGCAGUAAUUUGACUGUGCGAAGGUAGCAUAAUCAUUAGUCUUUUAAUUGGAGGCUUGUAUGAAUGGUUGGAUGAGGGAUGGACUGUCUUAGGUGUAUUAUUUGAAUUUAACUUUUAAGUGAAAAGGCUUAAAUUAUUUAGGGGGACGAUAAGACCCUAUAAAACUUUAUAUUGAUAUGUGAAGAUUGUGGAUAAAGUUUAAAAUGAUUUUUAGAUUUCAAUAUUUCAUUGGGGCGAUGAAGAUAUAAAACUAACUGUUUUAGAAAUUUAAUAAUAGUUAUUAGAGUGUGAUCCUAUAUUAUGGAUUAUAAGAUUAAGUUACUUUAGGGAUAACAGCGUAAUUUUCUUUGAGAGUUCUUAUCGACAAGAGUAGUUGCGACCUCGAUGUUGAAUUAAAAUUUCAGCUGGGUGAAGCAGUUCAGCUAGUGGGUCUGUUCGACCUUUAAAAUUUUACAUGAUUUGAGUUCAAACCGGUGUGAGCCA
rnacentral:rRNA from 1 species